AUUGAACGCUGGCGGCAGGUCUAACACAUGCAAGUCGAGCGGAUGAAGGGAGCUUGCUCCUGGAUUCAGCGGCGGACGGGUGAGUAAUGCCUAGGAAUCUGCCUGGUAGUGGGGGAUAACGUCCGGAAACGGGCGCUAAUACCGCAUACGUCCUGAGGGAGAAAGUGGGGGAUCUUCGGACCUCACGCUAUCAGAUGAGCCUAGGUCGGAUUAGCUAGUUGGUGGGGUAAAGGCCUACCAAGGCGACGAUCCGUAACUGGUCCGAGAGGAUGAUCAGUCACACUGGAACUGAGACACGGUCCAGACUCCUACGGGAGGCAGCAGUGGGGAAUAUUGGACAAUGGGCGAAAGCCUGAUCCAGCCAUGCCGCGUGUGUGAAGAAGGUCUUCGGAUUGUAAAGCACUUUAAGUUGGGAGGAAGGGCAGUAAGUUAAUACCUUGCUGUUUUGACGUUACCAACAGAAUAAGCACCGGCUAACUUCGUG
rnacentral:rRNA from 1 species